rnacentral:misc_RNA from 1 species
GGAGGAAAACAAAAAAGAAAGAGUAAGCUUAUUGAAGAAGUAGGAGGAAGACGCGACAGAGUGAGUAGUUAACUUUCUUCUUCUAGUUGACAGCAUGGCGUCAGACAGCAAACAGUUUUGGAUACCUCUCGAAUCGAACCCCGAGGUUCUAAAUAAGUUUAGCUGGAAUGUUGGUGUCCCUUCCAGUUACAAAUUCCUUGAUGUCUACGAUUUGGAUAAGGAACUGUUGGAUACUAUUAAAAAGCCUUUAGCUGUGAUGUUACUUUACCCUCUCACUCAAAAGGCAAUUGAUAAUCCUAUUGGUAAAGUAGAAGAGAAGUCUGAGUUAUAUUUCAUCCGUCAAACAAUCGGUAAUGCCUGUGGUACCAUCGCUCUUGUACAUGCAUUAGCUAACAAUGCAGACAAGAUAAAUUUCAAAGAUGAUGGUUACAUGAAGAAAUUCAUAGCAGAAACCAAGUCAAUGACCCCAGAAGAAAAAGCUUCAUAUCUUGAAUUCAAUCGGGAAAUGGGCGUAGUCCAUGAAGAUUGUGCUCAGGAAGGGCAAACUCAGGCCCCUCCACGUGACCAAGCAGUGGUCCGUCACUUUAUUACAUUGAUUUCACGCAAUAACAAACUUUAUGAACUUGAUGGUAGGAAAGAGGGACCAGUUUGCCAUGGAGAAAUCAACAAGGAGUCAUUUUUAGAGUCUGCUGCAGCUAUGGUGAAGAAGUUUAUGGCUAGGGACCCCGAGGAAAUGGACUUCAGCGUGAUGGCUCUUGCUGAGGAUUGAAAUCCCUCAAGUACAGCUCAGUACAGAACAAUCCAUAUUUUUUUUUCUCUUUUUUCUGGCAGUCCAUUUAUAAUAAAAAUAUUGUUUUUUUUUUCUCCUUUUUCCCCCCGUUUAUUUUUAUUUAUUUUCUUUAAUUACAAAUUCUUCCUUUGUCCUGUGAACUCACCACUGUCCGCAUCGAUGAAAAUCUCCUCAUGGAUAUAUCAAAUUAAGGGCACUUUCAUCAUCAGUCACCAUGCAGCAGUGGUACCCAGCACUGAGGCAAGGGUUAAACACGCAGCUGUUAAACGUUUAACGAAGAUAGUGACUGGCUAAAAAGUAUCGUUGUGGCAAUAUAUAUGUGUCUGUGUCCAUGUAUAUAUAUGUGUGUGUAUGUGUGUGUAUAUAUAUAUAUAUGAACACACAAAAAGUAUUGUUGUGGCAAUGUGUGUAUGUAUACAUGCAUGCAUAUGUAUACAUACACAUGCAUUGCACAAUCUGCACAUAUACAUACAUAUAUAUAAUUGCAGCAGCUAUGGUUGCUAUGGUGCAAUAAUUUAUUAGUUUAUUUGGCUUGUUUGCAUGUAACUUAAUGUCAGAUCUGUCUGUCUAGCUAUCUUCAAAGGAGAGGGUCAAGGAUUGGUUGGCCGGCCUGUCAGUCUGCCUAUCCAGAAAGGAGGGAUGUUGGAGAGCAACAUGUUGGUCUGCCUGUCUAGAUAGGAGAGUGGAAAGUUAUGGGUUGGACUUGCUGUCUGUCUAUUUUGAAGUGUGGAGAGUCAAGGAUUUGUCUGGCUGUCGAAUUAGAGUGGAUAGUUAAAGAUUGGUCUGUCUGUCUAAUUAGGUGAGUGGAGCAUCAAAGAUUGAUCUGUCUGUCUGUCUAAUUAGGUGAGUGGAGAGACAGAGUGGUCUGUCUCUCUGUCUAGUUAUGAUGUUGGAGAGUCAUGGAUUGGUCUGUCUUGCUAGUCAGGAUGUUGGAGAGUCAUGGGCUGGUCUUGCUGUCUGUCUAUUUUGGGAAGAAAGUGGAGAGCUAAGGAUUAGUCUGGCUAGAGUGGAGAGUCAAGGAUUGGUCUUUCUGUCUAAUUAGGCGAUCAGAGAGUCAAGGAUUGGUUUGUCUUUCUGUCUAAUCAGGUGAUCAGAGAGUCAAGGAUUGAUCUGUCUUUCUGUCUAAUCAGAUCAGAGAGUCAUGGAUUGGUCUAUUUGUUUCUGUCUAGUUAGGAGGAUGGAGAGCCGAGGAUUGGUCAGUCUCUCUGUCUAGUCCGAUGUUGGAGAGUCAUGGGUUGGCUGGUCUGUCUGUCUGCUUAGAAAGGAUCCAGGAUACACUAGUCAUUACAUCUAUGAUUCCCUGUUCUCCUUAUGCAUUUAUUAAGACAUAAUGUCCAAUGGUAUAUAAUUACAUCCUUUAACAUUGAGUUCAGUUUGAUUUCAUCCUUCUAGGAUUAAAGUAUAACCAGGGUACUAUCUAGUAUAGUGGGUAUGGAAGUGGUGAUUGAACCAACUGUGUACUCUCCCUAAAUUUUUAGCUUUGUUCCUAUUAUUAUUGUGUUCAAAGUUCAAAUCUUGCCAAGGGCAACUUUGGCUUUAUCCUUUCAGAGUUGAUAAAUACCAGAUGUCUACUGAGGUUGGUAUCAACUAAUUCCCUCUCCGCAAAAUUGCUGGCCUUGUGCCUCAAUCAGACACUAUUAUUAUUAUUAGUCAUAUUUCUAUCACCACAGAUACUACUACACAAAGAUAUUUUAAAUGGCUGAAGCAGUUUAAUAUUGGACUUAAAAGUACAGUAUAGUAUUUGAAACCCCCUCCAGUCAUCAUUCUUGAUUCUAAGUUCAAAUCCUGCCAAGGUCAACUUUACCUUUCAUUCCUCUGGGACUUGAUAAAAUAAGUGUUUAUGGUGUGGUGAUGGUAGAUUGAGAGUGGUUCAUUAAAUAAAAAGAUAAUUGCUUUUUCUCUUCUUCAAUAAUUACCCUUAUUCCUAAUUAACUUUUUCCAUGAUUACAAUUGGUGGAAUGUUAGCGUUGGCAGAGAGUUGAACUAAAUGUUUUACACUCAAAUCCUGCCAUGUUCAACUUUGCAUUUUAUCUUUUCUCGGUCUAUAAAAUAAAGUACCAACAAAAUACUAAGGUCGAUUUCAUCCACUGUGCCCAUCUUCCAAAACGUUUGGUAUUGUCAGUAUUAGGAAUAAAAUGUGUAUGAAAGAAAAAUAAGGGCUAGUUUUGUGAUUGUGGUAUCUGGGGAUGAUAUUGCCACUGCGAGAUUCUUACAAUGACAUACCCCAACCACACCCAUCAAGCCACCUUAUUUCUUUGGAAGUGGAACAAAGGUUGGAUAAAUACGACACCCUCCCUGAUCGUUUAAUUCUAUCACCAGAUUUUCUUACCUCAAGUUGCCUCCCUUGCCAGAAUUGCAUUUUUUUUUUAAAGUAAAAAUAUAUAUAUUUAUAUAUUCCUGUCUCCUCCUUCCCACCGCUAAUCCCUUAUUGGCCACUCCAUCCCCACCUCCCUGGCUGACCAGCUACUCUCCCUGCUCUGACCAGCCACCACCUCGACGUUGUCCGGCCACUCCCACUACCUGCCUGAUUGGCCACUCCUCCCACAUUGACUGGCUACUGCUUCGAUUUGACCCCCACCGUGUGACCACUUCCAAAAUGCCAUUGUCCACAACAUAAUUCUUGUUCUGUCUGCUGUCUCCCUGCCAUUCCAAAUCCUAUUUUGUAAAUUCCAGCUAUGGUUUCUCAACGUCUGUUGCUAACUUCAGGCUUUCACAAAUGUAUGUGAGAUAUAAUUCCAAGCAUAUAUAUAUUCUAAAACAAAUAUAUAUAUAUUUUUUUCUUCUUUUGGUAAAUAAAGCAUUUUGCUUCUGGCUACUA